rnacentral:rRNA from 1 species
UUUCGCAAUGCCCGAAAGGGUGACGAAGCGACGCCGCGUGCGGGAAGAAGGCCUUCGGGUUGUAAACCGCUGUCGGGAGUUAAGAAGUGCAAGGAUGUUAAUAGCAUCUUUGUUUGACUAAGGCUCCGGAGGAAGCCACGGCUAACUCUGUGCCAGCAGCCGCGGUAAUACAGAGGCGGCAAGCGUUGUUCGGAAUUAUUGGGCGUAAAGAGCACGUAGGCGGCUGUGUAAGUCGGUUGUGAAAGCCUUCCGCUUAACGGAAGAACGGCAUCCGAUACUGCAUAGCUCGAGUGCGGGAGGGGAGAGUGGAACUUCUGGUGGAGCGGUGAAAUGCGUAGAUAUCAGAAGGAACACCGGCGGCGAAGGCGACUCUCUGGCCCGUAACUGACGCUGAGUGUGCGAAAGCUAGGGGAGCAAACGGGAUUAGAUACCCCGGUAGUCCUAGCCGUAAACGAUGGGCACUAAGUAGAGGGGUUUU